rnacentral:rRNA from 1 species
CCUACGGGAGGCAGCAGUGAGGAAUAUUGGUCAAUGGGCGCGAGCCUGAACCAGCCAAGUAGCGUGAAGGAUGACUGCCCUACGGGUUGUAAACUUCUUUUAUAAAGGAAUAAAGUGAGGCACGUGUGCCUUUUUGUAUGUACUUUAUGAAUAAGCAUCGGCUAACUCCGUGCCAGCAGCCGCGGUAAUACGGAGGAUCCGAGCGUUAUCCGGAUUUAUUGGGUUUAAAGGGAGCGUAGAUGGGUUGUUAAGUCAGUGGUGAAAGGUUGCGGCUCAACCGUAAAAUGGCAAUUGAUACUGGCAGUCUUGAGUACAGGAGAGGUAGGCGGAAUGCGUGGUGUAGCGGUGAAAUGCUUAGAUAUCACGAAGAACUCCGAUUGCGAAGGCAGCUUACUAAACUGCCACUGACAUUGAUGCUCGAAAGUGUGGGUAUCAAACAGGAUUAGAUACCCUUGUAGUC